rnacentral:lncRNA from 1 species
CUCUGGGUCAGGCUACGGGUCUGGGAGUGGUGGAGCUCAAGGCGGCGGCUAUGGGUCUGGGGGUAGUGGAGCUCAUGGUGGCAGCUAUGGGUCUGGGGGUGGUUAUGGAAAUUCAGGAGGUGAAGGUGGUGGUGGAGGUUGAGGUUGAGGAAGAAACAAGCACGGCUGAUAAGAUAUUGGCCGAGAGUUUAGGGUUUCAUGAGCCCCAGAGGCCAGUGUGUAGUGUGUACUAUGAUAACCAUAUUAUAACUAGCUAGAUAUACAUGUGUGUAAGCUUUUCAAUAAAUAAUCACAAGACUUUGACAAAGAAUAUAAGUAUUGCUAGUAUAUUUAUAUUUUCGAGUGGCAGUUCAUAGUUUGUUGAGUUGCCAAUUCUCUGGCUUAUGUUUGUGAAAUGAUCACUUUUUGUCUACUAAUAUUUCUCUUUAGACCAUCUGCAAUAGCUGGGCUAAAAGCCAAAUAUAUUAACCUGGAAAAUUUAUUUUUUAGCUCAUAAACAGUUUUUCUGCUCCAACCGUUCUAGCCUAAAAUUUUAGCCUGAAAUUAUUAAAGAAUGAAUUUAGGCUAUUUUUUUUGUUAAAUUAAUUUAAAAAAAUAAAAAUAAAUAUGUAGACUAUCGUAAAUUAAUUUUAUGAAUAUUUUAAUCUAAAAAAAUUUAAAUUCCGAUAAUUAUUGAAAAAUCACUCAAUUUUCCACAAAGAAAGCCUUCAACUUUCACCAAUCUUUCAACCCUAGGUGAAUUUUGAGUUAAAUAAUUUUUUUUAAUUAUUUUAGCCGUUGGAUUUAAAUUUGGGCCGUUAGAUCUUCUUUUUUUACCGUUAGAUUUGAUUAAAUUCGAUCUCAGUCGUUGGAUUCAAUAAUAUAUAAAUAUAAAAACAAAAAAAAUUGAAUCUAGGCCAUUGGAUUAACCAACGGCCUGUAGAUCGUGAUCGUUGGAUGGAAGUAGCCGUUGGAGGCGCUGCGGAACGUGGCCGACAGGCCCACGUGGGCAGGGCCCUAGCUGUUUGAGGCGUCGUGCGUUGCGCUAGUUGGGCGAGUGGGUGGGCUGCGUUUGGUGCACAAACGCCCCUUUUCACUCGGUUCGAUGGAGCCCACUCCGAUUUCUGGGCUAAGUUUUGGAGGGAAUCUGGUCUUGGUUUAGCAUUUAGCAUUUAGCCCAAAUUUUCCCCUUGGGUUGGAUUGGGUUUGUGGGGAAAUUUUUGGAGGUAAUUUGAUUUUUAGCCCACCAUUGGAGUUGGUCUUAAAAUACUAAAAGAAAGUUUCACAUUUGACUAACCCUUUUUUCAUAUACUUCGUCUAAUUUUGUUGUAGCUAUUUGGGUUAUAUCACUAAUUGCUUUUGGUCGAUAUACUUAUAUUUUUCUUCUCAGAAUUGAAAGAAACCUUCAAGUUUGGAUCAACGACGCUUUUGGUAAACUUUUUUGUAAAAAUACUUUUGAAAAAAAAAAAACCGUAUUAUAGUGUUUGGUAAACUUUUAUUUAAAACAGAUGUGAAAAAAAACCGGUUUUUCAAAGCUGGGUUUUGCAGCUUCUUGUUUUUGGUUUUUUUUCACCCAAAACUGUGAAAAAAGCUGAAGCUGAAUGUUUACCAAAUACAAAAAAUCUCUCAGCUUUUUUUUUAUACCAGUUUUUUUCAGAAUCACCUUAGUACCAAACCAGGCCAUAGUACCCUGUGGAUAAACAAAAAUGUUACUCUUAUUACCUAUUUGUACCAUCUCUCUAAUAGAAACGGAAGCCACAUGCGUUGAUGGGGCUUAACUCUAUUAGUGAGAUGGUGGAGCUGGUGGAGGUGGAGGUUGAAGAAGAAACAACCACGGCUGAUGAGAUAUUGGAUGAGAGUUUAGGGCUUCAUGAGCCCCAGAGGCCAGUGUGUAGUGUGUACUAUGAUAAAGCAUAUUAUAACUAGCUAGAUACAUGUAUGUAAGCUUUUCAAUCAAUAUUCACAAGACAUUGACAAAUAAUAUAAAGCAUUGCUGGUAUAUUUAAUAUUUUCGUGUAGUAGUUCAUAGUUUGUUGAGUUGCCACUUCUCUCGCUUAUGUUUUUCAUUUAGCGGAUAAUUUUCAGUCGAUUGAUAAUUUUUUGAAGAAAUUAGGUUCCUAUUCCUAUUUUUUCUAUUUCAUUAAUUAAAACUCUUAUUUAUUUUCAAAUUUUUAUCAAGGUCAUUGGGUUUUAAUAAACGUCACUAGUUAUUUUAAAAUAAAAUAUUUACAUGUCAAGAUAAUUAAAUUUUAUUUUUAAAUAUAUUCAUUUAGUGUCAAAACUUUUUCUUUUGGUAUAUUUAUAUUUAUGGCUAAAAUUUUUAUCAUAUAUUUCUAUUUUGUACCCAUUUUUAGUUUGCAACCUUUUUUUAAAUUGUACCAAUUUUCUUUUAAAUUUUAAUUUGUACCCAUAUAUUAAUUUCUUUUUGUCCCUUAUUUUUUAAACUUUUAUUUGUACUCAAAAUAUUUUUAACCUUUUAUGACACACCCCGUCCCGAAGGAGGGCAUGCUGGCCGUCACGUGAGAGUGACGUAACCAUUUACACAGUACGGAAGCUUUAAGAUACAAUUUAUAAGUUGAUACACCCGAAGGUGAGUCCUAAUUUUGUCCAAUCUGUCAGAACACUGUCAAAUUCCUCGUAGUCACCACACCUUUGUGAUUCCUGAACCUGGAGGGGCGCAAAACCAAAAUUGAGUGGGUCAGUAAAACAAUUCUUUUCAAAUCCAACUUUUCUCAAAACAUUGUAACCCUUCUCCGUAAAACCUGUAUACUUUCCCAGAAAUAUAAAAUAUAAAUAUACAUAUAUAUAUUCUCAAUACUUCAAGUCAUUAACUCAACAUUUUCAUCAUAAUUAUGCCAUGCCACAUCAUCUCAACAUUUCUCAUAUUAAUUAUGCCAUGCCACAUCAUCUCAACAGUAAUA